rnacentral:rRNA from 1 species
UGGGGAAUAUUGCGCAAUGGGCGGAAGCCUGACGCAGCGACGCCGCGUGCGGGAUGAAGGCCUUCGGGUUGUAAACCGCUUUCACCAGGGACGAAGCUAACGUGACGGUACCUGGGGAAGAAGCGCCGGCUAACUACGUGCCAGCAGCCGCGGUAAUACGUAGGGCGCGAGCGUUGUCCGGAAUUAUUGGGCGUAAAGAGCUCGUAGGCGGCUGGUUGCGUCUGCUGUGAAAUCCCGGGGCUUAACCCCGGGCGUGCAGUGGAUACGGGCCGGCUGGAGGCAGGCAGGGGAGAAUGGAAUUCCCGGUGUAGCGGUGAAAUGCGCAGAUAUCGGGAGGAACACCGGUGGCGAAGGCGGUUCUCUGGGCCUGUACUGACGCUGAGGAGCGAAAGCGUGGGGAGCAAACAGGAUUAGAUACCCUGGUAGUCCACGCCGUAAACGUUGGGCGCUAGGUGUGGGUCCCUUCCACGGGGUCUGUGCCGCAGCUAACGCAUUAAGCGCCCCGCCUGGGGAGUACGGCCGCAAGGC